rnacentral:rRNA from 1 species
CCCUUAGCUGUUCUGGGCCGCACGCGUGCUACACUGAGUGGAUCAGCGGGUCAGGUUGCGCGAAAGUGUUUCCUAAUCUUGAAAUCCGCUCGUGAUGGGGAUUGACGGUUGCAAUUUUCCGUCAUGAACGAGGAAUACCUUGUAAGCGCGGGUCAUCAUCCCGCGCUGAAUACGUCCCUGCCCUUUGUACACACCGCCCGUCGCUCCUACCGAUUGAGUGGUCCGGUGAGGCUUUGGGAUCUGAGCGGAAAGAGCGUUUCGCUGUUUCUGCUCGGAAAACUCAGUCGAACCUUAUCAUUUAGAGGAAGGAGAAGUCGUAACA